AACGAACGCUGGCGGCAUGCCUAACACAUGCAAGUCGAACGAGACCUUCGGGUCUAGUGGCGCACGGGUGCGUAACGCGUGGGAACCUGCCCUUAGGUUCGGAAUAACUCCCCGACAGGGGUGCUAAUACCGGAUAAUGUCUUCGGACCCAAGAUUUAUCGCCUUUGGAUGGGCCCGCGUUGGAUUAGCUAGUUGGUAGGGUAAAAGCCUACCAAGGCGACGAUCCAUAGCUGGUCUGAGAGGAUGAUCAGCCACACUGGGACUGAGACACGGCCCAGACUCCUACGGGAGGCAGCAGUGGGGAAUAUUGGACAAUGGGCGAAAGCCUGAUCCAGCAAUGCCGCGUGAGUGAUGAAGGCCUUAGGGUUGUAAAGCUCUUUUACCCGGGAUGAUAAUGACAGUACCGGGAGAAUAAGCGCCGGCUAACUCCGUG
rnacentral:rRNA from 1 species